AACGAACGCUGGCGGCAGGCUUAACACAUGCAAGUCGAACGCCCCGCAAGGGGAGUGGCAGACGGGUGAGUAACACGUGGGAACAUGCCCAAAGGUACGGAAUAUUCUCGGGAAACUGGGAGCAAUACCGUAUGUGCCCGAAAGGGGAAAGAUUUAUCGCCUUUGGAUUGGCCCGCGUUGGAUUAGCUAGUUGGUGGGGUAAAAGCCUACCAAGGCGACGAUCCAUAGCUGGUCUGAGAGGACGACCAGCCACACUGGGACUGAGACACGGCCCAGACUCCUACGGGAGGCAGCAGUGGGGAAUCUUGGACAAUGGGCGCAAGCCUGAUCCAGCCAUGCCGCGUGAGUGAUGAAGGCCCUAGGGUUGUAAAACCCUUUCGUGGGGACGAUAAUGACGGUACCCCAAGAAGAAGCUCCGGCUAACUUCGUGCCAGCCGCCGCAGU
rnacentral:rRNA from 1 species